UCCUACGGGAGGCAGCAGUGAGGAAUAUUGGUCAAUGGGCGGGAGCCUGACGCAGCGACGCCGCGUGAGGGAUGAAGGUCUUCGGAUCGUAAACCUCUGUCAGCAGGGAAGAACGGUCACUGUGCUAAUCAGCAGUGAAUUGACGGUACCUGCAAAGGAAGCACCGGCUAACUCCGUGCCAGCAGCCGCGGUAAUACGGAGGGUGCGAGCGUUAAUCGGAAUUACUGGGCGUAAAGCGCUCGUAGGCGGUAUGUCAAGUCAAGGGUGAAAUCCCCGCGCUCAACGUGGGAACUGCCUUUGAAACU
rnacentral:rRNA from 1 species